rnacentral:rRNA from 1 species
CUAAGGAGACUGCCGGUGACAAACCGGAGGAAGGUGGGGAUGACGUCAAAUCAUCAUGCCCCUUAUGAGUUGGGCUACACACGUGCUACAAUGGACGGUACAAAGGGCAGCGAAGCCGCGAGGUGGAGCCAAUCCCAGAAAGCCGUUCUCAGUUCGGAUUGCAGGCUGCAACUCGCCUGCAUGAAGUCGGAAUCGCUAGUAAUCGCAGGUCAGCAUACUGCGGUGAAUACGUUCCCGGGUCUUGUACACACCGCCCGUCACACCACGAGAGUUUGUAACACCCGAAGUCGGUGAGGUAACCUUAGGGAGCCAGCCGCCGAAGGUGGGACAGAUGAUUGGGGUGA